rnacentral:rRNA from 1 species
AUUGAACGCUGGCGGAAUGCUUUACACAUGCAAGUCGAACGGCAGCACGGGGCAACCUGGUGGCGAGUGGCGAACGGGUGAGUAAUACAUCGGAACGUGCCCAAUCGUGGGGGAUAACGUAGCGAAAGCUACGCUAAUACCGCAUACGAUCUACGGAUGAAAGCGGGGGAUCGCAAGACCUCGCGCGAUUGGAGCGGCCGAUAUCAGAUUAGCUAGUUGGUAGGGGUAAAAGCUCACCAAGGCGACGAUCUGUAGCUGGUCUGAGAGGACGACCAGCCACACUGGAACUGAGACACGGUCCAGACUCCUACGGGAGGCAGCAGUGGGGAAUUUUGGACAAUGGGCGCAAGCCUGAUCCAGCAAUGCCGCGUGCAGGAUGAAGGCCUUCGGGUUGUAAACUGCUUUUGUUACGGAACGAAACGGUAGAGCUCUAAUAAAGACUUGCUAAUGACGGUACCGUAAGAAUAAGACACCGGCUAACUACGUGCCAGCACGG